GACUCAAAACUUUUUUUUGUGGCACACGCGUAACCUCCAACUUUCUUAAUGGCAUAUGGGUAAAAGACUCCUGCUCCUUCGCUUCGCUUCUGUUCGUCUCUCCGCCGUGCGCCGUCCGUCGUCCGCCAUGGAGGUUGCUGGCCCUCCUCCGUUGACCAGCGCUUCCCCUAGCCCCUGCCGCUCAACACCAACUGUGGCCGGAUCUAGUUGUUUGGCGGCUCGCGAGAAAGAAGUUUUGGUGGUCUAGAUCUGGUCAGUUCAUCCUCCCUUUCGAGCUGAUCUCUCACCACCGAGCCUUUUCCCCACAUCCCUUCUCGUCGUUCGGUUUGAGGUGGUCAGAUCUACCGGCGGCAAAGCUGCUGGAUGCCCUCACUUCGUGUGGCUGUGAGAUCAUCGGGGUUAGAACUGCCAGAAUCGCUUGGACUCGAGGAAGAAGGAGAGCGAGCAAGACGAGGGAUGCAAAUGGGCGACGACCUGGGUGUGGAGCGGUGACCCCAGCUAUCGGAUGCAGCAGUUUGCACGCGCGGGUGCAACACGGAGCACGCGCUCAGCCUGGCUGAGUAGCGAAGUUUGCCCGAAUCGGGCGUUCCUCCGGAGCCUGGCUGGCGACCGCUUUUUGCACGCGCUGGGCCUGGCUGGGAGGUCCAUGCAAGCAACCAACAAGGUAAAUUUGUAUGCAUAGGUGCGGGCCAAGCCUGAUGCAGGCAACCAAACAGACCCUCAGUCCAUCUGCACAUUGAAAAUGCUCAAGGUCCAAGAGAUGUGAUAGUAUAUCAGAUGGCAUGCCAUUGACUUGUGUGCCAGAAGAUUCUAUGAAGUAAAAAACUAAAAUGCUUGAUUUUUCUUUGCUCUCUAUGGUUUAUAUUCAAAUUUUUCUCUACUGAUAGAUUAAUAUCACUUUUGAACAGCUCUACUAAACAAUUAAUUUAAUUUGUGUGAAUUUUAUGUUGGUGUCAAAAUUUGGCACUUUAAGACCUUGGCAUAGCAAUUUCAUUCUUUGUAUCCCCUGCUCUAAGUUGGUAUCAUUUCAGUUUACUUGCUUUAUAAUUACUAAACUUGAAGGUCGACAUGCACUUCACUGGGAAAUUUUAAGUGAAACCCUGAAUCCCUCAAAUCUCCUAUUGAACUUUAUCAUGAAUUGCUAAAGUUGCUGAUUUUCUUGAGUAGGAACCAAGCUAUUCACUUAAAAUUCAUGUACUAGCCUCUCAAAAUUUGUAUGAAUAUUGGGGUUUUAUUUUAAGAGCAAAUUAGAUCAGAGUUCAGAGUCUACUCAUGCUGCUUGCUGUUGGGUAUACCUCCCAGGGAAGGGAUGCUCUUAUCCAUCUUCCAGGAAAUUGGUGGUAGCUGAUUUCAAAUGCGAAAUUAGUUAUUAUUGUUUCUGUUCUAAUAGAAAUUGAUUUCACCGAGUCAAUAACUUGCCAUAUUUAUUUAUUUACUCUUAAAUUCCAUUCUUAUGAAUGAUUUGACAAACAAUUUUUUCCUUGUCACAGAACAAGCAUGUAAACGUGUUUGUUUACACAAUACAUGAAACAAUAUGUAGAAUCAUACUUUACACUGCCAUUUUCUCCAAAGAGGCUGUGAUAAGCACUUCUGCAUCCACUUGAACUCAUAUAUACUUGUGUGCCCUUUAAUUUUGUAGGAUAAUUAUAUGAAAGAAGCCCCUCUAUAUCUGGAGUUAGGGAGCACAUUUUUACUAGCAGGAUUGUAGUUUUGUGACUAAUAAGCAACAGCUGCUUGCAGACCCUCUGAAGUGAGAUGUUUACCUAUCUCACUAUUUCACCCUCACAUGUUUGUUAUACAAUUGAAUGGAUAUGCAUAUUUUUUUAAUAAUAUUUAUUCAAAUAGAGUUAUCAACCACAAGAAAAAGCUAAGCAAGCAUAUCUUAUGUUAAUGUUCUUGUGUAGAUUUGAAAUAUCAUGUGAUGAACAAGGUCAUUUCAUUUGUUGCCUUAUAAACAUAUUAAGCAGACCAUUUUAAAGUGCACUUUCACACUACUCUUUUAUAUGUUGUAUGCUUUUGCAGCUCUACAUAAGAAUUUUAUAAUAAAAAAUACAUAGUUUCCC
rnacentral:sRNA from 1 species